rnacentral:rRNA from 1 species
UUUUGUAUAAUGGGUCAGCGACUUAUAUUCUGUAGCAAGGUUAACCGAAUAGGGGAGCCGAAGGGAAACCGAGUCUUAACUGGGCGUUAAGUUGCAGGGUAUAGACCCGAAACCCGGUGAUCUAGCCAUGGGCAGGUUGAAGGUUGGGUAACACUAACUGGAGGACCGAACCGACUAAUGUUGAAAAAUUAGCGGAUGACUUGUGGCUGGGGGUGAAAGGCCAAUCAAACCGGGAGAUAGCUGGUUCUCCCCGAAAGCUAUUUAGGUAGCGCCUCGUGAAUUCAUCUCCGGGGGUAGAGCACUGUUUCGGCAAGGGGGUCAUCCCGACUUACCAACCCGAUGCAAACUGCGAAUACCGGAGAAUGUUAUCACGGGAGACACACGGCGGGUGCUAACGUCCGUCGUGAAGAGGGAAACAACCCAGACCGCC